AUAUUGUUAAUAUCUCUUUCACAGCACCAACACCACUAAAGAAGAGAAGUUAAAAUGGAGAUAAAACAGGAGAGAAUUUUCAUUACAAGUCCUGCUUUGACUUGAACACCAGUCGUAGAUCAGUGUGAUGUAUAUUAGUCCAAAAUGUGACAGCUUAUGGGAUGGCAGUGUAAGCUCUGCACACUUGUUGCAUCAUCAAAAGGAAUUUAGAUCAUUAUCGAGUGGAGCAUGGUACUGUUGGUGAUGAAUAUUCAGUGUCUUGUCUUAAUUUAGACUUUCAUUGCUUCUUUAAGACCUGAGAAGGUCUGCACACACAUUUGUAUGGAUCCCAAAGUUUGCAGGAAACUGAAGUGUGAUGCUGUACAAUAUUUCAGAUGUAAAAUGUGUCUAAUUAGAUUCUAAUACAAAAGUCUCCUUUCCACAUAUUAACUGUAUAAUACUUGUUG